rnacentral:rRNA from 1 species
AUGAGUAUUCUAAGGUGGAACUGCCGGGGUUUGGGGUAACCCCAGACAGUUCUAGAGCUUGUGGGCCUUGUUCAUGCCCACCGCCCAGGAAUCGUUUUCCUGUCUGAAACACGACAAUGUGAGGAAAAGGUGAAGAGAAUAAAAUGGGGACUAGGUCUAAAGCACUACCUUACUCAUGAUGGUAAGGGCAAAGGUGUGGGCAUUGCCUUGUACUGGGAUGAAUCAAUAAAAAUAAAGUGUUUAUCGUAUGACCCCCGCUAUUUUGAUGUUUUGGUGACUGAUGAUUCCUUUAGCCCUACGUGGCGUGUAACUUUUGUCUAUGCACUACUAGGGAAAAGGCUAGCAGCAGCGCGGGUUUUAGGUGUAUCAGUAGCACUGGGAGAGGCGCUACUAAUAAGGCGCUACAACUAA